rnacentral:rRNA from 1 species
GAUGAACGCUAGCUACAGGCUUAACACAUGCAAGUCGAGGGGCAGCGGUAUCGAAAGCUUGCUUUCGGUAGCCGGCGACCGGCGCACGGGUGAGUAACGCGUAUCGAACCUGCCUCAUACUCGGGAAUAGCCUUGCGAAAGUAAGAUUAAUGCCCGGUGUUUUCAGAGUCCCGCAUGAGGCUUUGAACAAAGAUUUAUCGGUAUGAGAUGGCGAUGCGUCCCAUUAGCUUGUUGGCGGGGUAACGGCCCACCAAGGCAUCGAUGGGUAGGGGUUCUGAGAGGAAGGUCCCCCACAUUGGAACUGAGACACGGUCCAAACUCCUACGGGAGGCAGCAGUGAGGAAUAUUGGUCAAUGGGCGGAAGCCUGAACCAGCCAAGUAGCGUGCAGGAAGACGGCCCUCCGGGUUGUAAACUGCUUUUAGUUGGGAAUAAAACGGGGCUCGUGAGCCCCCUUGCAUGAACCAUCAGAAAAAGGACCGGCUAAUUCCGUG